rnacentral:rRNA from 1 species
UCUGUUUGAUCCUAGCUCAGGAUGAAUGCUGGCGGCGUGGAUGAGGCAUGCAAGUCGAAUGAAUUUAGAUUCAUGGCAGACGAGGUAGGAACACGUGGGUACGUACCCUAGAGUCAGGGAUAACCCGGCGAAAGUCGGAAUAAUACUUGAUGGUCCCUUCGGGGUAAAGAUUUAUCGCUCUAGGAACGGCCCGCGGGCUAUCAGCUUGUUGGUACGGUAACGGCGUACCAAGGCUACGACGGCUAGGGGAGGUGAGAGCCUGACCCCCACCGAUGGAACUGCGACACGGUCCAUACUCCUACGGGAGGCUGCAGUCGAGAAUCUUCCGCAAUGGACGAAAGUCUGACGGAGCGACGCCGCGUGGUGGAUGAAGCCCUUAGGGGCGUAAACACCUUUUAUGAGGGAGGAAUUUUAUUGACGUUACCUCAUGAAUAAGGGGCUCCCAACUCUGUGCCAGCAGGAGCGGUAAUACAGAGGCCCCAAGCAUUAUCCGGAUUCACUGGGCGUAAAGGGUGCGUAGGCGGUGUUAUUAGUCGGGUGUUAAAUCCUGGGGCUCAACCUCAGAAUCGCAUUCGAAACGGUAACACUAGAAGAAGUAAGAGGUUAGCAGAACUCUCGGUGUAGGGGUGAAAUCCGUUGAUAUCGAGGGGAAUACCAAAUGCGAAGGCAGCUAACUGGGACUUUCUUGACGCUGAGGCACGAAAGCAUGGGUAGCGAAUCGGAUUAGAUACCCGAGUAGUCCAUGCCCUAAACGUUGUCUGUUGGCUUUUGGAGGAAUCGACCCCUUCAGAGGCGAAGCUAACGCGUUAAAGAUCGGAAGAGCGUCGUGUAGGGAAAGAGUGUAGAUCUCGGUGGU